UACGUAGGUGGCAAGCGUUGUCCGGAUUUAUUGGGUUUAAAGGGUGCGUAGGCGGCCCUGUAAGUCAGCGGUGAAAUACGGCAGCUCAACUGUCGAGGUGCCGUUGAUACUGCGGGGCUUGAGUGUUGAUGAGGCAGGCGGAAUUGACGGUGUAGCGGUGAAAUGCUUAGAUAUCGUCAAGAACACCAAUGGCGAAGGCAGCCUUCUGGGCCAACACUGACGCUCAUGCACGAAAGCGUGGGGAGCAAACAGG
rnacentral:rRNA from 1 species